rnacentral:rRNA from 1 species
GACGAACGCUGGCGGCGCGCUUAACACAUGCAAGUCGAACGGAAAGGCCUGCUUUCCCUUGUGGAUUGCGGGUACUCGAGUGGCGAACGGGUGAGUAACACGUGAGUGAUCUGCCCCCAACUUGUGUAUAAGCCUGGGAAACUGGGUCUAAUUCCCGAUAGGACUGCAGUGUGGUGCCUGUGGUUGAAAACGAUUUUCUAGUGGUUGGGGAUGAGCUCGCGGCCUAUCAGCUUGUUGGUGGGGUAAUGGCCUACCAAGGCGGCGACUGGUAGCCUGCCUGGGAGGGUGGACGGCCACAUUGGGACUGAGAUACGGCGCAGACUCCUACGGGAGGCAGCAGUGGGGAAUAUUGCACAAUGGGCGGAAGCCUGAUGCAGCGACGCUGCGUGGGGGAUGCCGGCCUUCGGGUUGUAAACUCCUUUCGACAGCGAGGAAGCCACCUGGUUGGAAGGGUGGUGACGGUAGUGGUAGAAGAAGCACCGGCUAACUACGUG